rnacentral:lncRNA from 1 species
UACCCGUACCACUACUAUUUGGAAUAAUAAUCACAACAACAAUAAUAAUAGUAAUAACAAUAAUAGUAAUGACAAUAAUACUAAUAAUAAGUAAGUUACUGUUUACUAUGCAGAUGUUAUUAUUCAGUAUCCCUCAGGCUAUGGCAGGCAAAUACAUAUUUGGCUGAAAGAGGAGCCAUUGCUCCUUCACCAAUGAGUAUUUUUAGUUUUUCCUCUGAGAUUAAUAUGUUAAAAUCUGGAAUAAAUGUAGUCAUUUCUGUGAAUAAUUAAUAUCUUGGUGAGGAAUAUUUAUCACAGUAAAGGAGAAAGUGCAUCUCUCUUUCUACCUACCCUGUCGUGCAGUGACCACAUACACACUCCUCUUUGAGUAGCCAUGUCUUUAUAUGUCUGCCGGUUUCUAUUGGCAAUUGGUGGUCACUCAGCCUGUACUUGGUAAGGAUCUGUCUCUGCUUCGUAUCUCUGACAGAGUAGAGAUAAUCAGCCAAUUCAUAUUCUCUGUUUAGUGCCAGAUAGCAAUUUAGUCGUCUUUGGGAUUUUGUUUCGUUUUUCCAAUUUUGUAAAUAUGAGUCCUUUAAUUGGUUCAUGAUUUUGUUCUUUCUUUUGAAGCAGUGCUGGUGUCAGCUUGGUUGGUUAGGUCCAUCACCAGCUUACUGAGAGGGAUUGUUUCUGGGCCCAGCUCUUGGGUUUGGUGCUUUAAAUUGCAGACUUGAAUUUAGAUGUAGCAAAAAAAAUUAUGAUAUUUUCUGUAUUUUCAUUACCACUGGAAAGCGGCCCAAUUCUGCCCUACAUGCAUCAGUUGGUGUAUUUCUCUAGACUUGUAGAAUUUUCCGACAGAAUUCUGCACGUAGGGCUUCAAUUGGAUGUUUGUCCCACAUUUUAAAGUCCAGUUUAUUGAGUGGCCCCCAAACCUCACUUCCAUAAAGAGCUAUUGGUAGGAUUAUACAGUCAAAUAUUUUGGUCCAAAUUCUAAUUAGGAUGUUGAUUUUGAAUAAUUUCAUUUUUGUUGCAUACAAUGCUCUGCAGGCUUUUUCUUUGAGUACAUUCACUGCCAUACUAAAGUUUCCCGAUGCAGAUAUGGUCAGACCAAGGUACGAGUAAUUUUUAGUGUGUUCAAUUAUGGUGUUGUUCAGGGUGAAUUUAUAUUUGUGUUUCUGACAUCUGUUUUUUGGGGGGGAAAUCAUGAUUUUAGUUUUUUUUUUAAAUGUAUUGCCAGGGCCCAAUUAUGGCAAUAUUGCUCUAGAAUGUUAUGGUUCUGUUGAAGACCUUCUUUGGUUGGUGAGUACCAAAUCAUCAGCAUAUAGCAGGUAUUUUACCUCUGUGUCAAAUAGUGUAAGUCCUGGGGCUGGAGAAUGGUCCAACAUGGCUGCUAAUUCAUUGAUAUAAAUGUUGAAAAGAUUUGGACUCAAACUGCAGCCUUGUCUCACACUUCGAUGUUGUGAAAAUAAUUAUGUUCUUUGGUUUUGGAUUUUUAUUGCACACUUGUUUUCUGUGUACAUACAUUUUAUUCUUUCAUACAUCUUACCACCAAGCCCACUUUGGAGAAUUUUGUAAAGUAGCCCUUUGUGCCAAAUAGAAUCAAAUGCUUUUUUAAAGUCAAUAAAGCAAGCAAAGAUUUUUCCCUCUCUUUUUCGGUGGACGUGUUUAUUAAUUAGUGUGUGUAAGGUGUAUAUAUGGUCAGUAGUGCGAUGGUUAGGGAGAAAGCCAAUUUGACAUUUACUUAUUACAUUUUUUUCUUGAAGAAAGAUUUGAAUUCUUGAAUAAUAAUACCAUGUUGAACAAUUUAAGCACAGCAUUUUGAAACUUUAAUUUCUGAUGUUAUCUAGACCACAAGCUUUCUUUAAUUUUAUAGAUAUGAUCUUUUCAUUUAGUUCUUGUUGGGUUAUUGGGUAAUCUAAUGGAUUUUGGUUAUUUUUAAUGACUGAAUCAAGGAUGUAACAUUUUUCUUGAAUUUCUAAUUGGUUAUGUUGUAAGUCUUUUUGUGGGUUGUUUUUGUAUAGAUUAUCAAAAUAAGUUUUCCAAAUUCCUUCAUCUUGUAUGGCUAAUUCUUGUGGCUUUGUCGUGCUUAAACUGUUCCACAUGUACCAGAACUGAUUUUGGUCAAUUGCGUUUUCAAUUUCAUGAAGAGUCUUAUUGGUAUAAUUACAUUUCUUGCGUUUCAGUGUAGGUUUAUACUGUUUCAGAGUUUCAAAGUAUUCAUAAGGUACUUCUGGGUUGUUUUGUUGCUUAUGUUUUUCAUUUGACAUUUGUCUUAGAUGUUUUAUAAUUGUUUUACAUUCGCUGUCAAAACAUUUUUCAGAAACAUUUUGAUUUUUGUUUCUAAUGUUGCAUUUCUUUGGUUUUCUCAAAUUUGCUUUUGAUGCUUCUUUUUGGAAAAUGCAAUUAAUGUUUUGAGUAGCCGAAUUGACACCUUCUUUAUUGUUUUGGUAUUGUGAGUUAUUGAAGAACUGUAUAGAGUUCGUCAUUUCAUUUCAGUUCAAUGUUUCAAUGAAUCUCUCUGCACUGUUUUGAGCCCAUCUGUACGAUUGGUUUAUGUUGUAGAGUUUAUUGGGCUCUUUUUUUGAAUGAAUAUUGCCGGUUAAUUUCUUCAGAAACCCGUUGAUCUGACUGUGAUCUGACAAUGGUGUCUGUGGUCUGACAGUGAAUGCACUAAUGGAGGAGGGGUCGAAGUCAGUGAUGGCAUAAUCGACUACACUUGUCCCAAGAGCUGAGCAGGAAGUAAACCGACCUAAAGAGUCCCCUCUAAUUCUACCAUUAAGCAUGUACAGGCCUAAGGCUCGACAGAGGUGCACUAACUCCUUCCCAUUUUUGUUGAAUAUUUGGUCAGGACUGUUUCUAUUAUUUAUAAUAGGGCUGCUGUACAAGGAGGGGUGUCCAAAUAUGUGGUGGUUACCUCCCGUAUCAGUGUAGUCAGGCUCAGAACCUGUUCUUGCAUUGAAAUCUCCACAAAGAAGCACUUUACCUUCUGCCUGAAAUUAAAUGAUUUCUGUAUGGAGAUUGUCAAAAAACUGAUCAUCAUAAUAUGAUGAAUCUGAAGGAGGAGCAUAAGCUGCACAUAUGUAUACAUCAUUGUCGCAAUAGAUUGUACCUUUGUUAAGUUAUAGCCAAAUGUGGUUUCAUUUUAUUCAGUGCUAAGUCCUGCUUAUGCCAAAUGAUUAUUCCACCUGAGUCCUGGCCCCAUUUAAUAUUUUUAUGUUUGAUUGAUGGUAGUAAACUUUCUCUAUAGCCUGAGGGACACUGAGUUUCUAUGUCUCCAUGACACCAUGUUUCACACACACACACACACACACACACACACCAUUACAUAUAAUUAUUAUUAUAAUAUCAGUGCCAAUAAAAUAAAGAAUAGCUGUAAACAAAUGAAUAAGAAUGGAAUAAGAUUGCACAAAAAAGUACAGUACAAUGCAAUCUGCAACCCUGUGUAUGUGUGUGUGUAUGUGAAUGUGUGUGUGUGUGUGUGUGUGUGUGUGUGUGUGUGUGUGUGUGUGUGUGUGUGUGUGUGUGUGUGUGCGUGUGAAUUAAAGAUUAAAGUGUCUGUCUAGCACAGUAGUCUGCAUAUUAGAUGCAGUAGUUGGCGCACCUCUCCAAUCUCUGAUUGUUCUAGGUGUCUUUUGCCAGAGGUUACCUCAGCAUAUGUAGGCUGAUGAUCUGAAUGACACAUGGUGUGGAAUGCAUCAUGUGGUCCACUUCUCUGAAGAACAGUGUUCUGCCCGACCCUGGAGUAGUGGUCAGUGGUGUGUUGUGAUGGGCUGGAUCUAGUAGUGCUGUGUUGUGAUGGGCCUGGUCUAGCAGAGCUGUGUUGUGAUGGGGUCUAGUAGAGCUGUGUUGUGAUGGGCCUGGUCUAGUAGAGCUGUGUUGUGAUGGGCCGGGUCUGGUAGUGCUGUGUUGUGAUGGGCCGGGUCUAGUAGAGCUGUGUUGUGAUGGGCCGGGUUUAGUAGAGCUGUGUUGUGAUGGGGUCUAGUAGAGCUGUGUUGUGAUGGGCCGGGUUUAGUAGAGCUGUGUUGUGAUGGGGUCUAGUAGAGCUGUGUUGUGAUGGGCCGGGUCUAGUAGAGCUGUGUUGUGAUGGGCCUGGUCUAGUAGAGCUGUGUUGUGAUGGGCCGGGUCUAGUAGAGCUGUGUUGUGAUGGGCCGGGUCUAGUAGAGCUGUAUUGUGAUGGGCCGGGUUUAGCAGAGCUGUGUUGUGAUGGGCCGGGUCUAGUAGAGCUGUAUUGUGAUGGGCCGGGUUUAGCAGAGCUGUGUUGUGAUGGGCCGGGUCUAGUAGAGCUGUGUUGUAAUGGGCCUGGUCUAGCAGAGCUGUGUUGUGAUGGGCCGGGUCUAGUAGAGCUGUGUUGUGAUGGGCCGGGUUUAGUAGAGCUGUGUUGUGAUGGGGUCUAGUAGAGCUGUGUUGUGAUGGGCCGGGUUUAGUAGAGCUGUGUUGUGAUGGGGUCUAGUAGAGCUGUGUUGUGAUGGGCCGGGUUUAGUAGAGCUGUGUUGUGAUGGGCCUGGUCUAGUAGAGCUGUGUUGUGAUGGGCCGGGUCUAGUAGAGCUGUGUUGUGAUGGGGUCUAGUAGAGCUGUGUUGUGAUGGGCCGGGUCUAGUAGAGCUGUGUUGUGAUGGGCCUGGUCUAGUAGAGCUGUGCUGUAAUAAGCCAUGUCUGGCUCUUCUCUCCUGGGGAUGGUGGGGGUAUUGUUGUUUCAGAAGGUGGAGCGGGGGGCCUCUGCUGCUGGGGUGAUGGGUGUGUGGGUCCCUGCCAAGUGUUCCAUUCUUUAGGUCCAUAACAAAGGUUCUGAUACUGUCCUGAUCAAGAUGUACAUUAUGGUAUAAGUGUUGACAUGUCAGAGUGGGAUGGUGAGCCGUUCUGACGUUGAGCAGUGAGGCACAGUCCAUAGUGAUCUGUUGAUUUAUUUUGUCCAUCAACUGUCCUGGGAAGUCUUUUCUUGGUAAGAGGGUGGACACAACUAUAUUGGUUGUUGGGAACAUAGCCUGUGCCCGUUCUGCCACUCUUCUCACUGCCCCAGAUACAUUUCCACCUUUGGAAUGAAGGUUGUUUGUGCCUGUGUGGAUGAUGAUGUUGUCAAGGGUGUCAACCCUGGUCUGACUGAGUAGCUGCAUUGCACUGUCAGUUGUAGGACAACAGACCUUAUACAUCUGGUUUCUAGGGAAUCAUCUUUCCUGGACUAAGAACUUCCCAUUUGAAUCAAUAAGGAUUGCAGUUGUGGGUGAUUGUCUGGCUGGAGCACACUGGGUGGCUGGUUGGCUGACCUGGGCUGGAGCAGACUGGGAGGCUGGUAGGUUGACAUAGGCUGGAGCAGACUGUGUUGGAGCAGACUGUGUUGGAACAGACUGGGAAGCUGGUUGGCUGACCUGGGCUGGAGCAGACUGGGAGGCUGGUAGGUUGACAUAGGCUGGAGCAGACUGUGUUGGAGCAGACUGUGUUGGAACAGACUGGGAAGCUGGUUGGCUGACCUGGGCUGGAGCAGACUGGUAGGCUGGUGCAGUGUCAUCAGGCUGUGUGGUGGAGGCCAUGCUGGUUAUGCUGGUCUCAGGCUCUGCCUGGGUUGUACCAAGCUGGUGGACAUGUUCUCUUGAUGCAGAGGACAUAAUAACUAGCUGCUGGUUGAGGGGGUCAAUGUACCUCUCUCUCUGUUCUAGCUCCUCUCUUGUUGUGCUCAGAUGGUCUCUGAGGUCAUCAUUUGUCUGACUCAGCUUGUCCAUUCUGCUUUCCAAUUUAGCAAUAGAUGCUCUGCUCUCCUCCCUGAACUGUUUCAUCUCUUCAUUUCGUUUCUGGACAGUGUCCUCAUCUUGAAGCUUGUUCUAAGUUCUAUGACCUCUGCUUCGACUAGAGAGAGGGUGUUGUGGAAUCGUUGCAUAGCAGGUGUUCUUGGUGCUGUAGGCAUGUCCUUGGCUCUGUCUGCUGCAGAUGAGGUAGGUAGAGGGACACUGAGGGCUUCUUGCUGGGUCACAGAGACCAUUGGGGCCUGCUUUUCUCCAUCAUCUCCUUCCUUUACUUCUUCCUCAGUUUCUGAGAUGAGUUCAAAUUCUACUUUUAGGGUAGCAAACAUAUUCUCUAAAGCCUGGAGGCUUGAAUUAUUGCCUUGUAUCAAUACAGUUCCAUUAUUGUAGAAGUUCACUGUUUAAUACAUGUUGCUCUGGUCAGCUUCUUCAAAAAUGCUGAUCUGACAUCCUUGGCUGAUGCCUCUCUAUUUUGAGAAAAGGAAAUGGUUGCAAAUAACCCUUUUCCAUAUGUGCCCUCAUUUGCAAUUACAUAUUACAUUUGCUCUUGUUUCUCAACUGGUAAGAUCUGCAAACAGGCAUUCAUGGUUCUGUCCCAUCAUCAAAGCUUUUCUUAGCUUUCUGUUUGGAUGUCUGGUGGGUAAACAAUUUCCAUAGCAACGCUGGUGAUGUUGGCUACAAUGUUGCAAUAUAAGCCUACCUUUUCCAAAACAGCAUAGUUUCUUGUAUUAUUGUCUCUUGUGUCUUUAGAGGACUGUUUUCCUUUGAUGUCCUUUGUCUUCUGUCCUUAUUUUGUCUUUCUAUUCGUUUGUUAACAAGCUAUUUUUUGUUAGCUAGCUAGCUUCUUUUCGGAGAGUCCCUAGCAACUGCUUAGCAACUGGUAAACAAUUCAGCUAGCUAAGAUAACUACAAUUUUAUGAAAAAUUAUUACUUUUUCAAAAGCCUGCCUUCUUCGUUUGUUGCUUGUUUUAUCUCCUAUUCAGUCUUGCAGUUUUCUUUUGCUUUUUGCAAUAUACUUCACUCUAAAAACCAUGUAAAUCUCAAUAUUUGUAGGAGCUAAUUUUUUUCAGCAACUGCUACUCAAUUUGGAAC